rnacentral:rRNA from 1 species
GACAAACCAGAAAAGAAAUGGGGAAAAAAACAACUUUG